ensembl:lncRNA novel transcript
CUGGAGUGCAGUGGCACGAUCUCAGCUCACUGCAAUCUCUGCCUCCCGGGUUCAAGUGAUUCUCCUGCCUCAGCCUCCCAAGUAGUUGGGAUUACAGGCUGGUCUUGAACUCCUGACCUCAGGUGAUCCGCCUGCCUCGGCCUCCCUGUGUGCUGGGAUUACAGGCGUGAGUCACCGCCCCUGGCCUCCAAGUGAUCUUAAUUGCAUACUAAUGUGUUAAGGACUUUAAUGUGUUAACUCUUUAAGAUAGAGUUAAACACACUGUUUCCUAAGGGUUUGUUUUUACAUCUUCUGUAAAAACAAAGGUAUAUGUUUUACUAAACCAGCAUUUUAGUUGUGGACCCUAAGUCUACCUUGAAAAAAAAAAUGAUAUGAUUUUUAACAUUCUAAUGAGUACAAGAUGACAGUGAACAACAGUAAUGUACCAAGUCAGGGAAAGUAGGUGGUGGGGGUGGCUACAGGCUGGGAACAUGGUGAGUUGCUUGGUAUUGUUUUAAAAUUCUCUACAGCCAAUACACUCCCCUUAUUGUCUGUAUCUUGCCUCUGCCCUGAUCUUAGCCAUCCAUUGCAUUAUUAUGAAUUGGUAAUCAACAACUCUGAUAGAAAUUGACUUGCUAUUUUCUCUAAUUGGGCUGGUUAUAUAUUGCCCUAUUGUCCUUAGCGCCUUUUCGAUUCUCAAGAAGGUUGCAUAAUUCCAGCAGCCUUCCAUGUAAAUGGCAGUAGUAUAGAGUAGCUGAGAUAAAGAAUAGUCUCCAGGGGACUGACUAUAUAAUAUAGGAAGUUGAAGCAGUAGGGUAGUUCCUAAAUGUUAAUAAAUUUCCCCCAGUAAGCCCUGUAAAGGCAGGGAAUUGGAGCGGGGGGUGGGGGGUAGGGGGCAGGUGUUCUCCCAAGGGCAAGGAGAAAGGACCUUACAAAAUUAUUGUAUUAAAGUCUGAAAUGCUUUAUAGGAUUUAGAGCCUAAGUAGGAGCAUGGUGUUCUUGUAAUAGCAAUCCAAAUCUGUUAUUUUAGUUGUUAAGGGAGAAAUUCUUUAAAAGUCUUCAAAGAAAUUAGAGAUAGGCAUUAAUUUAUUAAACAGUGAUAAUAGAGGUUAUUGGAAUCUAUUUUGGGAAACUUUAAGUCAUUUGGUAUUGGGAAGAGAGUACUUCAAGGUUAAUUUGUAUAAAUUUAAUUUUGUUAUAAGAGGCUGUACUCUGUUUGCACUCUAGAAUUAGGAAGGUUACUUUCCUGACUUUUGUAUUUCUCAGGAAAAAAAGAAUUGGAAGAAACUUAAGAGGUCUGUUAAUGCCAGUACCUAAACGUGACAUUUAACAUGGCAUGGAAGCUAUGCUUUGAAUAAACACUUGAGAAAAGGAAUUACAUAAUUUCUUUUUUGUUGUAUGGAUGGCUUUGGAUUAUACAGAGCUUAACAUUUAUAUAAAACACCAGUCUGAGACUGAUGAAGUGAAAACCUUUUUAUUAUAAAAUAAAAAUUGGAAGAAUGGCAUUUUAUUACAGUAUAGUUAAGAGAUUGGCUAAGGCAGUAAAUAAAACUUAGAAAUGCUCAAAUUUAUUGUAAAUUGCUUUUAUAAUCAUUGAUAUAUAAAGCAUGCUACUGCUAAUCAAUUAGUUUUAUGUAUUAAGACCUAUCAGCAUGUCUUUUUUUUAGUAUCUGGUUGACUUAAACAUGAUGUUCUCUGUACCAUUUAACAUUUUCAAGACAUAUUCUCCCCAAGCAAAUUCUGUUGGAACCAAGUGUUUCCAGUUCUAGAAGUUUACUUCUAGAGUCUUCAUAUGAAAUUUACAGUUGGGCUUUCAUAGGGUUUUAAUUUGCACUGAAUCCUUCCUUCUGAAAGAUGACUUAUGUUUAAAGUAUAAUGUAGCAGUGCUUUUGUCUUACAAUUAAACUCUUACAGCACUCA